AGUUUGAUCCUGGCUCAGGACGAACGCUGGCGGCGUGCUUAACACAUGCAAGUCGAACGGAAAGGCCCCUUCGGGGGUACUCGAGUGGCGAACGGGUGAGUAACACGUGGGUGUUCUGCCCUGCACUUUGGGAUAAGCCUGGGAAACUGGGUCUAAUACCGAAUAGGACCGCAUGCUUCAUGGUGUGUGGUGGAAAGCUUUUGCGGUGUGGGAUGGGCCCGCGGCCUAUCAGCUUGUUGGUGGGGUAAUGGCCUACCAAGGCGACGACGGGUAGCCGGCCUGAGAGGGUGUCCAGCCACACUGGGACUGAGAUACGGCCCAGACUCCUACGGGAGGCAGCAGUGGGGAAUAUUGCACAAUGGGCGCAAGCCUGAUGCAGCGACGCCGCGUGGGGGAUGACGGCCUUCGGGUUGUAAACCUCUUUCAGUAUCGGCGAAGCUCCAGGAUUUUUCUUGGGGUGACGGUAGGUACAGAAGAAGCACCGGCCAACUACGUGCCAGCAGCCGCGGUAAUACGUAGGGUGCGAGCGUUGUCCGGAAUUACUGGGCGUAAAGAGCUCGUAGGUGGUUUGUCACGUUGUCCGUGAAAACUCACAGCUUAACUGUGGGCGUGCGGGCGAUACGGGCAGACUGGAGUACUGUAGGGGAGACUGGAAUUCCUGGUGUAGCGGUGGAAUGCGCAGAUAUCAGGAGGAACACCAGUGGCGAAGGCGGGUCUCUGGGCAGUAACUGACGCUGAGGAGCGAAAGCGUGGGGAGCGAACAGGAUUAGAUACCCUGGUAGUC
rnacentral:rRNA from 1 species